rnacentral:rRNA from 1 species
UACCAGCACCCCGAGCGGUCGGGACGAUUAUUGGGCCUAAAGCAUCCGUAGCCGGUUCUUUAAGUCCUCCGUUAAAUCCACCUGCUUAACAGAUGGGCUGCGGAGGAUACUAUAAGACUAGGAGGCAGGAGAGGCAAGCGGUACUCAGUGGGUAGGGGUAAAAUCCGUUGAUCCAUUGAAGACCACCAGUGGCGAAGGCGGCUUGCCAGAAUGCGCUCGACGGUGAGGGAUGAAAGCUGGGGGAGCAAACCGG